rnacentral:lncRNA from 1 species
GAAGGGUUUGACUGUGUGACCGGAAGGUCAAGUAUGUUAUGUAUUAUGUUUAUAUGCUAUAAGUGGUAAGUUAAGUGUUAUAUGGAUAUGUAUGCUAUAAGUGGUAAGUUAAGUGUUAUAUGGAUAUGUAUGCUAUAUGUGGUAAGUUAAGUGUUAUAUGUGCUAUGUAUGAUAUGUGGGCCGGAAGGCAAUAUGUUAUGGGCCGGAAGGCGAUUAUGUUAUGGGCCGGAAGGCGUUGUAAUGAGGACCGGAAGGUCAGGGCCUGGAAAGGCGUAUGUGCGUAAGUGUAUAUUGGGGAACUCACUAAGCAUUUAUGCUUACAGUUGUUGUGCAUGUAUUUCAGGUACUAGCGAGGACCGUGGGAAGGCGCCGGCAUGAUCGAUACACACUGAAGAUUGUUUUAUGAUCUUGGGAGUUUGAAUAAUUGUAUUGACCGAAUAAUUAAACUGUUUAUGCCUUGUUUUUAAUGGAAAUAAUUAUGUUUUAAAAAUGAAAAAUUUGUUUGAAAAAUUUGAGUUGUUACAAUUGGUAUCAGAGCCUUGGUUUGAGGGAUUCGGGUGCACCUUCGGGGGUAACUGAACUCAAACCGAGGAUUUGAGGAAACUUUUCAAAUAAAGGCAUAAACUUUUGUAAAUGGUUUUGUGGUAAGCAAGAAAGAAGCAGUGUGUACGAUCAGUCAGCGCCCGAACGGUAAAGAUCCCCAAAAUACCUUACAAUAUUAUAUGAUAUGAAUUGUUAUGCAUGCUAGAAGACUAGGUAUUCAUGAUAGGACUAGAGUGGCCUGAUUUGUGAUGCCUUAGUCUAGGGAAGUUGCUUAUAUGAGAUGCUUUGCUAGUAUGCGGGUAGAUAGAGCGUAUCAGAAGUAGAGUACUCACUAUCUGGAGUUUGGGGAGGAGGACUUGGGAUGAACAUUGAUGCGGUGUGGUCGGUAGUAUUGGGCCCGUACUACCGAGGACACCGGGUCAGUGGGAGGCCCAAGUAAGAAUCCCUGGAUAUCUGGGACUGAGUAGGGUUGCGUGUCGAGUACGAUUAUACUCGGUAGAAUCUCUGAUAGUUUUAUGUUGUAUUUCAGAGAUAUCAUGGUUAGACCGCGGCACGGGGCAAGUUCGAGCGGUAUGAGUGACGAGGAUAUUCGUCAGAUGAUCCACGAGGAGGUGGCGGCGGCGAUCCGGGCUGAGAUCCCGGAGAUGUUUGGGUCUAUCAAGACCACCCUGAUGGAGACGUUCGACGAGCGGUACGCCGCAUUGACUGAGGCUGCAACCGCUGCAGCUACCGCAGCUGUGGCCGCUGCUAGGCCACAGGGGGGUGAUUCAUUGCUGUUCCGAGAGUUCAGCAACACGAAGCCACCAGAGUUCGAUGGGACGCAGGAUCCGAUUGCUGCGAUGAGGUGGAUCGCAGAUAUAGAGGGGUGCUUCUAUACUUGUUCAUGCCCGGAGCACCUGAGGGUACGGUUCGCUUUGAACCAGCUCCGUCUGGGAGCGAAGGACUGGUGGAAGUUCGUGACAGCGAAUUUCACUUUGGCAGAGACUACAGCGGUGACAUGGGAGGGGUUUACUGCCAUGUUCAGGGAUGAGUACGUUCCCCCGGUGGAGAGGGAACGAUUGGUGCAGGAGUUCUUAACCCUCAAGCAGGGUACCGAUUCUGUUGCGGUGAUUACACGGAAGUUUCAUGAGAGGGCGAUGUUUUGCCCUGAGCUGGUGUCCUCAGAGCAGGCUCGGAUGAGCCGAUACUUGGGUGUCUUGAGGAGGGAUAUUCGGGAGUUUGUGUCAAACUCCACUUACCAUACUUUUGCUGAGCUUCAGGCGAAUGCCAGGAAGCGCGAGAUCGAGUUGGAGACCCAGGCUAGGGAGGAGGCCGAGUCUCAGCGGGUGGAUCGGCGACCGGCUCAGUUCCAGCCGGCAGCCAAGCGGACCAAGUCCGCUGAUUCGAGGACAGGAGGUUCGAAGGGUCGCACUUGCGGGAAGUGCGGCAAGAGUCAUGAUGGAGUAUGUCGAUCUGGUGCUUGCUACAAGUGUGGCAAGGAGGGGCACAUUGCUAGGGAGUGCCCCAAGGGAUUUUCGGUUUGCUUUCAUUGCAACCAGACUGGCCAUAGGAAGGCCGAGUGCCCUCAGCUUCUUCAGGGAUCUGCACCUGCUGCCGGAGUUACUGCGACUCGACCGGUGAAGGCCGAGGCCCCGAGGGCUCGGGGAAGAGCCUUUCAGCUGACAGCGGAAGAGGUCCGCGCUGCGCCCGAUGUUGUGGCAGGUAUGUUGUAAUUCAUGUAAUUAUUUUAAUGUCGAUAUGUUAUGCUUAUGUUAUUAUGCGCGUAGGUACUUUCCUUGUGAACUCUGUGCCUGCCUUAGUGUUAUUUGACUCGGGUGCGAGUAGGUCCUUUGUGUCCUUGGCCUUUAGUCAGCAUAUUGGCGUUAGUCGUGAGUCGUUGAGUCGACCUUUGAGAGUCUCUAUAGCUGACGAGAAGGUGAUUUGUGCUACGGAGGUUCUUCGGGGAUGUGUACUAGAGAUUUUCGGGGUUGGAUUCCCGAUUGACCUGAUUCCUAUCGCGAUGGGGGAUGUCUGUGUCAUCGUGGGCAUGGACUGGUUGAGCCGGUUCGGCGCUGUCAUCGACUGUGAGCGUCAGUUGGUGACUAUACGAGACCCUAGAGGGGGAGUUCUUUCGGUAUACGGCGAGGGUACCCGUUCGGGAUCAGCUUUUUGUUCGGCCGCUAGGGCGAGGCAGUGUCUACGUCAGGGCUGUAAGGGUUUCGUGGCGUAUGUGAUGGAUACGCGGGAGGUUUCUGAGAAACCGAAGUCAGUUGAGGAAGUUCCGGUGGUGCGCGAGUUUUCAGAUGUCUUUCCCGAGGAGUUGCCGGGAGUACCGCCUGUGAGGCAAGUAGAGUUUAGUAUCGAUCUGGUUCCGGGGGCAGCGCCUAUUGCUAAAGUGCCCUAUCGUCUUGCACCUCCAGAGAUGCAAGAGUUGUCCUCGCAACUCCAGGAGUUGCUGGGAAAGGGAUUCAUUCGGCCGAGCAGCUCGCCAUGGGGAGCACCUAUUCUGUUCGUCAAGAAGAAGGAUGGUUCACACCGGAUGUGCAUUGAUUACCGGGAGUUGAACAAGCUAACGGUCAAGAACCGUUACCCGUUGCCGAGGAUCGAUGAUUUAUUCGAUCAGUUGCAGGGAGCAUCUUGGUUUUCCAAGAUCGAUCUGAGGUCAGGAUACCAUCAGGUGAGAGUACGGGAUGAAGACGUCCAGAAGACAGCGUUUAGGACGCGAUAUGGGCAUUAUGAGUUUGUGGUGAUGCCUUUUGGACUCACCAAUGCCCCGGCUGUGUUCAUGGAUCUCAUGAACAGGGUAUGCAGGCCGAUGUUGGAUCGGUCGGUGAUCGUAUUUAUCGACGACAUUCUGGUGUAUUCGAGAUCGAGAGAGCAGCAUGAGGAGCAUUUGAGGGAGGUCCUUGAGGUAUUGAGGUCGGAGAAACUUUAUGCAAAGUUCUCCAAAUGUGACUUCUGGUUGCGGGAGGUCCAGUUUCUAGGACAUGUGGUUAAUCAGAAAGGGAUAUUGGUCGAUCCGGCCAAGGUUGAGGCGGUGAUGAGUUGGGAGGUGCCGAAGUCACCCUCUGAGAUCAGAAGUUUCCUUGGGUUGGCAGGGUAUUAUCGGAGAUUUAUCAAGGAUUUCUCCAAGAUCGCAGUGCCACUCACCAGAUUGACCCGGAAGGGUGUUACAUUCUCAUGGGGGCCCGAGCAGCAGACCUCCUUUGAGACACUUCGCCAAAGAUUGUGCGAAGCCCCGGUAUUAGCUCUUCCAGAAGGGAUGGAAGAUUUCGUGGUAUAUUGCGACGCAUCGAUUUCGGGAUUGGGUGCAGUGUUAAUGCAGAGGGGUCAUGUGAUAGCUUAUGCGUCGAGGCAGCUGAAGCCUCAUGAGGCGAGAUAUCCCACGCAUGAUUUAGAGUUGGGGGCAGUAGUGUUCGCUCUCAAGAUUUGGCGUCACUACUUGUAUGGGGUUCGAUGUACGAUAUACACGGACCAUAAGAGUUUGAAGUAUUUGAUGGAUCAACCCAACCUAAAUAUGCGUCAGAGGAGGUGGUUGGAUGUGGUCAAGGAUUAUGAUUGUGAGAUCCUGUACCACCCAGGCAAGGCUAAUGUGGUAGCCGAUGCAUUGAGUCGCAGGGCGGAGAGCACUCCAUUGCGAGACGUAUGCUUGAGACUGACUGUGAUGACUCCAGUAUUGGACGCCAUUCGUGGGGCCCAGGCGGAGGCCGUGCGACCAGAAAUGCAGAAGAAAGAGCGGGUUGUGGGGUUAAUCUCAGAGUUUGUCAAGGAUAGUCGAGGCCUUAUGACGUUUCAGGGUCGGAUUUGGGUACCGUUCGUGGGCGGUACGCGUAUUACGUUGAUGGAAGAGGCUCAUAGAUCGAAAUUCUCGAUCCAUCCCGGUGCUACAAAGAUGUAUUUGGAUUUAAGGAAGGAAUAUUGGUGGCCCUGUAUGAAGAGGGACGUGGCAUGGUUCGUUGAGAGGUGCUUGACCUGCCGUAGGGUUAAGGCUGAGCACCAGAGACCGCAUGGCAAGUUACAGCCAUUGGAGAUCCCCGAGUGGAAGUGGGAACAGAUUACUAUGGAUUUUAUCACCAAAUUGCCGAGGACUGCUAGGGGAGUUGACGCAAUUUGGGUGAUCGUGGAUAGGUUGACAAAGAGUGCACACUUCCUUGCCAUCAGUGAGAGUUCUUCGGCGGAGAAAUUGGCGGAGAUAUACGUGAGAGAGGUGGUGUCUCGGCACGGGGUGCCGAUCUCGAUUGUGUCAGACCGUGAUGUGCGCUUUACUUCCAGAUUCUGGAAGAAAUUCCAUGAGGAGCUGGGUACUAAAUUGCAUUUUAGUACCGCAUACCAUCCCCAGACAGACGGUCAGAGCGAGCGGACAAUUCAGACACUGGAGGACAUGCUCCGAGCGUGUGUGUUAGACUUCGGGGGUAGUUGGGAUGCGUAUUUACCAUUGGCAGAGUUUUCCUACAACAACAGCCAUCAUUCGAGCAUUGGUAUGCCGCCUUUCGAGCUGUUGUAUGGUAGGAGGUGUCGGACUCCCAUUUGCUGGGGAGAGGUGGGACAGAGAGUGAUGGGCAGCACGGAGAUCAUACUCCAGACGACAGAGCAGAUUCAACAAGUGAGACAAAGAUUAUUGACUGCCCAGAGCCGACAGAAGAGUUAUGCAGACAGGCGCCGAUCCGAGCUUGAAUUUCAAGUCGGCGACUUCGUUCUCCUGAAGGUCUCUCCUUGGAAAGGAGUGAUUCGGUUCAGGAAGAGAGGCAAGUUGGGGCCCCGGUAUAUUGGGCCAUUUCGUGUGAUUGCAAGGAUAGGUCGGGUAGCCUAUCGGUUGGAGUUGCCAGCGGAGUUGGGUCAGAUCCAUGACACUUUUCAUGUGUCGCAGUUGAGGAAGUGCAUAGCCGAUGAGUCGGCAGUGGUUCCAUUGGAGGAUAUUCAGGUGGAUGCGAGCCUGAAUUACGCGGAGAGACCAGUGGCUAUCAGGGAUCGGAAGAUCAAGGUUCUGAGGAACAAGGAAGUACCUCUGGUGUUGGUUCAAUGGCAACACCGUAAGGGAUCAGAAAUGACUUGGGAACCGGAGCGCGAAAUGCGGGAGCAGCAUCCGGAACUAUUUGCAGAGUGAGACUUCGAGGGCGAAGUCUAAUCCAAGUGGGGGAGAGUUGUAACAGCCCGGAAUCUCAGGUAUUAUUAAAAUUAUGUUUUUGGGGUGAUUUAAGAGGGGACUCGGCGAGUUGGAGCCUAGACUCGCCGAGUAGGAUCGCAGACUUGGUCGCGGGUCCGCGACUGGACUCGACGAGUCCAGAUAUGGACUCGGCGAGUCGACGCUGUUCAGCAGAAACCCUAACCGUUCAGUUUGGAUCGUAUUUAAAGCCUCUUAGGCCGUCAUUUUCAGUCUUUUGGUCGAUUGAGAAGAACCCUAAUCGCUGUGGACGUCUAGAGCAGGAGAGAAAGCUUUUGGAACUUGGAAGAAUUGGUUAGGCAAGAAGAAGAGGGAUUUGGCUAAAAGAAUAUCAAGGAGGAUUGAGACCUGAGAUUUGGGGGACACAGAGAGUGCGUUUUCAGGUAAUACUCGGACCAAUUCUGUUAUUUUGAUGUGUAUGUAAGUUUAGGGUUUAUGAAACCCAUUUAGUGAUUUGAUGGGUUAUGAUGUUGUUACCCAAACGUUUUUACCCCAGUAAUGAGAUGUUUAGACGUCCAGAGGGUCCCAUGGUUGUAUAUCUUGGGACCAUACGUAAUUCAGGAAGCAGUUACUCGUCUGCAUGGCAUGGACUCGCCGAGUUGUUCUUCAGACUCGGCGAGUAGCUUGAAGAUUUACUGGGACUCGCCGAGUUGUUCUUCAGACUCGGCGAGUGGAGUCGGGGUGGCCCCGCGAUUCUUCCAGGGGUAACUCGUCGGGUCGAGGAGGGUACUCGACGAGUAGAUAAGGAAUCUCAGAAAGUUGGAGGACGUCUAGACUCGCCGAGUCGCCAUGGUACUCGCCGAGUCCGGUCGAGCUGACCGUUGACCGUUGACCAGAGUUGACCUAAGUCUGACUUCUUAGGGAUAGUCACACUUAGAAGAGAUAAGUAUUAAUGAGUCAUGUAAUGUUAUAGGGAGGUUGUAGCUCGUCGGUUGUGCACGAGUCAUUUCAGGAGUUGCUAGCUUUCAGCAUAUACGAGGUGAGUCUUCUCACUAUACUGUACCCGGAAGGGUUUGACUGUGUGACCGGAAGGUCAGAUAUGAUAUGUGAUAUGUAUGCUAUAUGUGGUAAGUUAAUUGUUAUGUAUGCUAUGUAUGAUAUGUGGGCCGGAAGGCGAUUAUGUUAUGGGCCGGAAGGCGUUGUAAUGAGGACCGGAAGGUCAGGGCCUGGAAAGGCGUAUGUGUGUAAGUGUAUAUUGGGGAACUCACUAAGCAUUUAUGCUUACAGUUGUUGUGCAUGUAUUUCAGGUACUAGCGAGGACCGUGGGAAGGCGCCGGCAUGAUCGAUACACACUGAAGAUGGUUUUUAUGAUCUUGGGAUUUGAAUAAUUGUAUUGACUGAAUAAUUAACUAGUUAUGCCUUGUUUUUAAUGGAAAUAAUUAUGUUUUAACAAAUGAAAAA